ACACGCACACUCAUGAUGUAGGUUGUAAAGUGACGCUGAUGAAGCCUGUUGUUGCUACACUUGUGGAAAAUGCUCAAGUACAAGUACGUCAAAAUUAUACUCAAGUACAAUAUGACAUUAUCAGAAGUCUCAGUGUGUGAUGAUCUACUUGUGUUGCUGUAUGAGAUGGAUUCAUGUACCUCAGCAGCGGCGAUUUUCUUUUCAACUUCUUGGACAUUAACUCUCCAGCCAUUUCUAGUUAUUUCCAGCUCUGGAGAUGGGUAUCUGGAAAAGAUAAACGUACGUCACACAAUAAAUAAAUCUAAUACAAA